UACAGAGGUGGCAAGCGUUGUUCGGAAUUACUGGGCGUAAAGGGCGCGUAGGCGGCCUUCUAAGUCAGACGUGAAAUCCCCCGGCUUAACCUGGGAACUGCGUCUGAUACUGGGAGGCUUGAGUAUGGGAGAGGGAUGUAGAAUUCCAGGUGUAGCGGUGAAAUGCGUAGAUAUCUGGAGGAAUACCGGUGGCGAAGGCGGCAUCCUGGACCAUAACUGACGCUGAGGAGCGAAAGCCAGGGGAGCAAACGGG
rnacentral:rRNA from 1 species